rnacentral:rRNA from 1 species
AUUGAACGCUGGCGGCAGGCCUAACACAUGCAAGUCGAGCGGUAGCACAGAGAAGCUUGCUUCUUGGGUGACGAGCGGCGGACGGGUGAGUAACGCGUGGGAAUCUACCUGGUAGUGGGGGACAACAGUCGGAAACGACUGCUAAUACCGCAUACGCCCUUUGGGGGAAAGUGGGGGAUCUUCGGACCUCACGCUAUCAGAAGAGCCCGCGUCGGAUUAGCUGGUUGGUGGGGUAAGAGCCCACCAAGGCGAUGAUCCGUAGCUGGUCUGAGAGGAUGACCAGCCACACUGGGACUGAGACACGGCCCAGACUCCUACGGGAGGCAGCAGUGGGGAAUAUUGGGCAAUGGGGGCAACCCUGAUCCAGCCAUGCCGCGUGUGAAGAAGGCCUUCGGGUUGUAAAGCACUUUCAGCUGUGAGGAAAGGUGAGUGGUUAAUACCCGCUUGCUGUGACGUUAACAGCAGAAGAAGGACCGGCUAACUCCGUGCCAGCAGCCGCGGUAAUACGGAGGGUCCGAGCGUUAAUCGGAAUUACUGGGCGUAAAGCGCGCGUAGGUGGUUCAGUCAGUCAGAUGUGAAAGCCCCGGGCUCAACCUGGGAACGGCACCUGAUACUGCUGAGCUAGAGUAC